rnacentral:lncRNA from 1 species
AUUGGUACUGGGGACUGUAUUUCUUAAAAUUGAUUCUUAAGUAGCUGUAAGUUCCACAAUCAAUGAUGAACCUAUACCUUAAUCCCAAAUUAGUUGGGCUUAGGCUGUGUGAAUUCCUAUAGAUGCUCAACUCGUUUCGAGAUCUAAUGUCUAGAUGAUAAGAACUGAGAAAACUAGCUCUCCUUCCAGCUCCAAGACAUUCAGAUAUUUCCUGAAAAUGUUUACAUUGCUAGAUUAUAGCCUAUUGAGUUAGGUGAGCUAGAUGGCUUCAUUAGCUCCUAGCGCAGCAUAUCUGAGUUCACUAUAGGGUUAAGAGUGUGACUUGCUUACACUGCUGAAUAAUCUAUAGAUUAAGACGUUACCAAGGAGCUAAUCCGUUCAGAACUCAGUUGGCUGCUUCUACAGAGAAGGCAGAGGAUAGAAUAAUAAAAUAAAUAAAAAGAGCUAAUCCGUUCAGAACUCAGUUGGCUGCUUCUACAGAGAAGGCGGAGCAUCCUUGGCUCAGCAUUAUAGCAUAUAACCAAAGAAAUCAGGAUUAAUCCCACUUUUUGUCCCUUUCCUUUCUUAGGUUUGCUAGAUAGAAA